AUUGAACGCUGGCGGCAUGCUUUACACAUGCAAGUCGAACGGUAACAGGCCUUCGGGUGCUGACGAGUGGCGAACGGGUGAGUAAUGCAUCGGAACGUGCCCAAUCGUGGGGGAUAACGUAGCGAAAGUUACGCUAAUACCGCAUAAGCCCUGAGGGGGAAAGCAGGGGAUCGCAAGACCUUGCGCGAAUGGAGCGGCCGAUGUCAGAUUAGCUAGUUGGUGGGGUAAAGGCCUACCAAGGCGACGAUCUGUAGCGGGUCUGAGAGGAUGAUCCGCCACACUGGGACUGAGACACGGCCCAGACUCCUACGGGAGGCAGCAGUGGGGAAUUUUGGACAAUGGGCGCAAGCCUGAUCCAGCCAUGCCGCGUGCGGGACGAAGGCCUCGGUUGUAACG
rnacentral:rRNA from 1 species